UACGUAGGGGGCAAGCGUUGUUCGGAAUUACUGGGCGUAAAGGGCGCGUAGGCGGCACAGCAAGUCGGGAGUGAAAGCCCGGGGCUCAACCCCGGAAUGGCUUUCGAAACUGCUGAGCUAGAGUACAGAAGGGGCAACCGGAAUUCCCAGUGUAGCGGUGAAAUGCGUAGAUAUUGGGAUGAACACCUGAGGCGAAGGCGGGUUGCUGGGCUGAUACUGACGCUGAGGCGCGAAAGCCAGGGGAGCAAACGGG
rnacentral:rRNA from 1 species